AAAAUGGUAAUAUCAUUUUUGUUAGUUUUACGUGAGAUCCACUUUGCACUAGUGAAGUUCAUAUUUCACUAGUUGCAUUUGGUUGUGAUAUUUCUCGACGACACCAAUGUCAUCUACUGUGAGCGCGAUAUUGAGGUGUAUAUAAAGCAGUUCAAUAUAUGUUUAAAGAGAUUUUUUAUUCUUUUGUUUAACAGGGCGGCGUGUGGCUGAACUGGAAAUGCAUAUUUUUCUGUCUCAGGUGUCACGAAGCUUCUGGAUUGAAUCCCUUAAUGAAGUAAAACCAGUGAGUACUGGUGCUCUAAAGCCUGACAAGGAAGUCAAGUUGGCAUUUGUAGAUCGCUAAGCGAUCGAGAGCACUGAGAAGACGUUGAAUGAAAAGUCAACUUCAUCAUUUUGUAUACAGUCCAACCCUUAUUAAGCGGCCACCUCUUAAACGGCCACCCCUAUUAAGCGGCCAGUAAUCAAAGUCCCGAUGAGGGCUUCUUUGUUGUUUUUACCUCUAUUAAACGGCCAACCCCUUUUAAGCGGCCGCUAUCCAUUUCGCCGAGGGUGGUCGUUUAAUAAAGGUUGAA